rnacentral:lncRNA from 12 species
UAGAACAGAGAACUUUUAUAGAAAGCUGCUGACAAGACUGGAUGAGAUGCUACAGCUGACAAGUA